rnacentral:rRNA from 1 species
UUUUAAAGACCUAGUAAUAGGUAUGCUUAAAGAGGAGCUUGCGUCACAUUAGUUAGUUGGUAGGGUAAAAGCCUACCAAGACUAUGAUGUGUAGCCGGGCUGAGAGGUCAAACGGCCACAUUGGGACUGAGACACGGCCCAAACUCCUACGGGAGGCAGCAGUAAGGAAUUUUCGGCAAUGGAGGAAACUCUGACCGAGCAACGCCGCGUGAACGAUGAAGUAUUUCGGUACGUAAAGUUCUUUUAUUAGGGAAGAAAAGAUGGUGGAAAAACCAUUAUGACGGUACCUAAUGAAUAAGCCCCGGCUAACUAUGUGCCAGCAGCCGCGGUAAUACAUAGGGGGCAAGCGUUAUCCGGAAUUAUUGGGCGUAAAGGGUGCGUAGGCGGUUAAAUAAGUUUAUGGUCUAAGUGCAAUGCUCAACGUUGUGAUGCUAUAAAAACUGUUUAGCUAGAGUUGGAUAGAGGCAAGUGGAAUUCCAUGUGUAGUGGUAAAAUGCGUAAAUAUAUGGAGGAACACCAGGAGCGAAGGCGGCUUGCUGGGUCUUAACUGACGCUGAGGCACGAAAGCGUGGGGAGCAAACAGGAUUAGAUACCCUGGUAGUCCACGCCCUAAACGAUGAGUACUAAACGUUGGGUAAAACCAGUGUUGAAGUUAACACAUUAAGUACUCCGCCUGAGUAGUACGUACGCAAGUAUGAAACUUAAAGGAAUUGACGGGACUCCGCACAAGCGGUGGAUCAUGUUGUUUAAUUCGAAGGUACCCGAAAAACCUCACCAGGUCUUGACAUGCUUUUGCAAAGCUGUAGAAAUACAGUGGAGGUUAUCAAUUGCACAGGUGGUGCAUGGUUGUCGUCAGCUCGUGUCGUGAGAUGUUGGGUUAAGUCCCGCAACGAUCGCAACCCUUGUUGUUAAUUGCCAGCAUGUAAUGAUGGGGACUUUAGCAAGACUGCCAGUGAUAAAUUGGAGGAAGGUGGGGACGACGUCAAAUCAUCAUGCCCCUUAUGACCUGGGCUACAAACGUGAUACAAUGGCUGUUACAAAGGGUAGCUAAAGCGCAAGCUUCUGGCGAAUCUCAAAAAAGCAGUCUCAGUUCGGAUUGAAGUCUGCAACUCGACUUCAUGAAGUUGGAAUCGCUAGUAAUCGCGAAUCA